rnacentral:rRNA from 1 species
CGUAGGGUGCAAGCGUUGUCCGGAAUUAUUGGGCGUAAAGAGUUCGUAGGCGGUUUGUCGCGUCCGUUGUGAAAGCUUGGGGCUCAACCCCAAGUCUGCAGUGGAUACGGGCAGACUAGAGUCAGGUAGGGGAGAACGGAAUUCCUGGUGUAGCGGUGAAAUGCGCAGAUAUCAGGAGGAACACCGGUGGCGAAGGCGGUUCUCUGGGCCUGUACUGACGCUGAGGAACGAAAGCGUGGGGAGCGAACAGGAUUAGAUACCCUGGUAGUCCACGCCGUAAACGGUGGGCGCUAGAUGUGGGGACCUUCCACGGUUUCUGCGUCGCAGCUAACGCAUUAAGCGCCCCGCCUGGGGAGUACGGUCGCAAGACUA